rnacentral:rRNA from 1 species
AGAGUUUGAUCAUGGCUCAGGACGAACGCUGGCGGCGUGCUUAACACAUGCAAGUCGAACGGAAAGGCUCCUUCGGGAGUGCUCGAGUGGCGAACGGGUGAGUAACACGUGGGUGAUCUGCCCUGCACUUCGGGAUAAGCUUGGGAAACUGGGUCUAAUACCGGAUAGGACCGCAUGCUGCAUGGUGUGUGGUGGAAAGCGUUUAGUGGUGUGGGAUGGGCCCGCGGCCUAUCAGCUUGUUGGUGGGGUGAUGGCCUACCAAGGCGACGACGGGUAGCCGGCCUGAGAGGGUGUCCGGCCACACUGGGACUGAGAUACGGCCCAGACUCCUACGGGAGGCAGCAGUGGGGAAUAUUGCACAAUGGGCGCAAGCCUGAUGCAGCGACGCCGCGUGGGGGAUGACGGCCUUCGGGUUGUAAACCUCUUUCACCAUCGGCGAAGCCUCAAGUUUUCUUGGGGUGACGGUAGGUGGAGAAGAAGCACCGGCCAACUACGUGCCAGCAGCCGCGGUAAUACGUAGGGUGCGAGCGUUGUCCGGAAUUACUGGGCGUAAAGAGCUCGUAGGUGGUUUGUCGCGUUGUUCGUGAAAUUCCCUGGCUUAACUGGGGGCGUGCGGGCGAUACGGGCAGACUGGAGUACUGCAGGGGAGACUGGAAUUCCUGGUGUAGCGGUGGAAUGCGCAGAUAUCAGGAGGAACACCGGUGGCGAAGGCGGGUCUCUGGGCAGUAACUGACGCUGAGGAGCGAAAGCGUGGGGAGCGAACAGGAUUAGAUACCCCCGUAGUCC